AUUGAACGUUGGCGGCAUGCUUUACACAUGCAAGUCGAACGGUAACAGGCCUUCGGGUGCUGACGAGUGGCGAACGGGUGAGUAAUGCAUCGGAACGUGCCCAGAGGUGGGGGAUAACGCAGCGAAAGCUGUGCUAAUACCGCAUGUGAUCUGAGGAUGAAAGCGGGGGACCAGGCAGCAAUGUUUGGCCUCGCGCCUUUGGAGCGGCCGAUGUCAGAUUAGGUAGUUGGUGGGGUAAAGGCCUACCAAGCCGACGAUCUGUAGCUGGUCUGAGAGGACGACCAGCCACACUGGGACUGAGACACGGCCCAGACUCCUACGGGAGGCAGCAGUGGGGAAUUUUGGACAAUGGGCGCAAGCCUGAUCCAGCAAUGCCGCGUGCGGGAAGAAGGCCUUCGGGUUGUAAACCGCUUUUGUACGGAACGAAAAGGCUCUGGCUAAUACCUGGGGCUGAUGACGGUACCGUAAGAAUAAGCACCGGCUAACUACGUG
rnacentral:rRNA from 1 species